AGCGUAGACGGAGUGGCAAGUCUGAUGUGAAAACCCGGGGCUCAACCCCGGGACUGCAUUGGAAACUGUCAAUCUGGAGUACCGGAGAGGUAAGCGGAAUUCCUAGUGUAGCGGUGAAAUGCGUAGAUAUAUGGAGGAACACCGGAGGCGAAGGCGGCUUACUGGACGGUAACUGACGUUGAGGCUCGAAAGCGUGGGGAGCAAACA
rnacentral:rRNA from 1 species